rnacentral:rRNA from 1 species
GAGAGUUUGAUCCUGGCUCAGGAUGAACGCUGGCGGCGUGGAUAAGGCAUGCAAGUCGAAAGGGUUUAGACCCUUGGCAGACGGGUUAGUAAUGCAUAGGAAUGUACCCUCAAGUCGUGAAUAACCCUGAGAAAUCGGGGAUAAUACACGAUAGUUCUCUUCGGAGUAAAGGUUUACUGCUUGAGGAGCAGCCUAUGUCCUAUCAGCUUGUUGGUAAGGUAAAAGCUUACCAAGGCUAUGACGGGUAGGGGGCGUGAGAGCGUGACCCCCAACAUUGGCACUGAGACACUGGCCAAACACCUACGGGUGGCUGCAGUCGAGAAUCUUCCACAAUGGACGAAAGUCUGAUGGAGCGACGCCGCGUGCAGGAUGAAUGCCUUCGGGUUGUAAACUGCUUUUCUAUGGGAACAAUUUCGUGAGCUUACCAUAGGAAUAAGGGGUUGCUAACUCUGUGCCAGCAGCAGCGGUAAUACAGAGACCUCAAGCGUUAUCCGGAUUUAUUGGGCGUAAAGGGUGGGUAGGUGGAUAUGGUAGUCAGGUGUUAAAUCAUCGAGCUCAACUCGGUGGCUGCACUUGAAACGCCAUACCUAGAGAUAGGCAGAGGCCAACGGAACUCAUGGUGUAGUAGUGAAAUGCGUUGAUAUCAUGGGGAACACCAAAGGCGAAGGCAGUUGGCUGGGCCUUAUCUGACACUGAGCCACGAAAGCGUGGGUAGCGAAGGGGAUUAGAUACCCCCGUAGUCCACGCCCUAAACGAUGCACACUAGUCAUUGGAAGUUUCGACCCUUUCAGUGUCGUAGCUAACGCGUUAAGUGUGCCGCCUGGGAAGUACGAUCGCAAGAUUAAAACUCAAGGGAUAGACGGGGAUCCGCACAAGCGGUGAGCAUGGUGGUUUAAUUCGACAUAAGCGAGGACUUACCAAGGUUAGAAAUCCUGCUGCAUAUUUCUAAGAAACUAGAAUAGCCUUCCAGGGUGCAGGACAAGGGGUUGCAUGGUUGUCGUCAGCUCGUGCUGUAAAGUGUUCCAUUAAGUUGGGUAACGAGCGCAACCCCUACUGCGUGUUACAAGUGUCACGCGGGACUGCCCAGCACUAAGUGCAUUUUUUUAAAAAGUGCGUUUGGUGCUGGGAGGAAGGUGGGGAUGACGUCAAAUCAGCAUGGCCCUAGACACCUUGGGCUACACACGUGCUACAAUGGCUGGUACAAAGGGUUGCCAAACCGUAAGGUGGAGCUAAUCCCAGAAAACCAGUCUCAGUUCGGAUUGAGGGCUGCAAUUUGCCCUCAUGAAGUUGGAAUCGCUAGUAAUCCCGAAUCAGCAAUGUCGGGGUGAAUACGUUCUCGGAUCUUGUACUCACCGCCCGUCACACCAAGGGAGCCGGUAGCACCCGAAGCACCUCUUUAUAGGGGUACCACGGUAAGAUCGGUAACAAGGGUGAAGUCGUAACAAGGUAGCCGA